rnacentral:rRNA from 1 species
UACGGAGGGUGCAAAUGUUGCUCGGAAUCAUUGGGCGUAAAGAGCUCGUAGGCGGUGUGUCGCGUCGGCCGUGAAAACCUGCAGCUUAACUGUGGGCUUGCGGUCGAUACGGGCAUCACUGGAGUUCGGCAGGGGAGACUGGAAUUCCUGGUGUAGCGGUGAAAUGCGCAGAUAUCAGGAGGAACACCGGUGGCGAAGGCGGGUCUCUGGGCCGAUACUGACGCUGAGGAGCGAAAGCGUGGGGAGCGAACAGG